GAGGAAAGGAAGGAAGGAAGGGAGGAAGGGAGGAAGAAAGAAGGGAUUUCACUCACAUGUGCCAUGCUGGUGUUCUGUCCAAGGGAAAUGUGGCCAUGCCUCCAAAUAUAGGAACGGCCUGGAGAAAACAUCCCAUCCCACCCCAGGGGGGCGCCACUGAGCAGAAUCUUCUCAGCAUGUGGGAUCAGAAAACACCGAUCAUGUGCAAGUCUCUGUGAUGGGUCUACGCACUCCCGUGGAAACCCAGCCUGUCCAGCUUGGCAGUGAAUUCUCAUGUACUGAAAUUGGAGCUGGCAGCCUGCUCAUCCAGACCUCUGCUCGCCCAGACGGAUGUGUCCACUGUGAUGCUGUCUUCGUGUCCACGAAUGAAGUAUCUCAGCAUCUCAGCCACACGACAGCUGCGGAGCAGCGAGGCGAGGCUGCAGUCAUUCUCGCACUGCCAGCAGAGAGGGGUGGUCAUGAGCCAGCAGACAGCACAUGGCCUGCAGAGGUCUGGGUCUGGGGUCACCAGAGGCCUUCAGCUGCCCUCCAGACCUGUUUGGAUUGGCCCGCAGCAUUGGACCGUUUCUUGAAUCAUGUGCCAACAUUUAAACAUUGGGAAACAGCAGUAAAAAUAUGA
rnacentral:lncRNA from 1 species